rnacentral:rRNA from 2 species
CAGUCGACGAACUCUGGUAUUGAUUGGUGCUUGCAUCAUGAUUUACAUUUGAGUGAGUGGCGAACUGGUGAGUAACACGUGGGAAACCUGCCCAGAAGCGGGGGAUAACACCUGGAAACAGAUGCUAAUACCGCAUAACAACUUGGACCGCAUGGUCCGAGCUUGAAAGAUGGCUUCGGCUAUCACUUUUGGAUGGUCCCGCGGCGUAUUAGCUAGAUGGUGGGGUAACGGCUCACCAUGGCAAUGAUACGUAGCCGACCUGAGAGGGUAAUCGGCCACAUUGGGACUGAGACACGGCCCAAACUCCUACGGGAGGCAGCAGUAGGGAAUCUUCCACAAUGGACGAAAGUCUGAUGGAGCAACGCCGCGUGAGUGAAGAAGGGUUUCGGCUCGUAAAACUCUGUUGUUAAAGAAGAACAUAUCUGAGAGUAACUGUUCAGGUAUUGACGGUAUUUAACCAGAAAGCCACGGCUAACUACGUGCCAGCAGCCGCGGUAAUACGUAGGUGGCAAGCGUUGUCCGGAUUUAUUGGGCGUAAAGCGAGCGCAGGCGGUUUUUUAAGUCUGAUGUGAAAGCCUUCGGCUCAACCGAAGAAGUGCAUCGGAAACUGGGAAACUUGAGUGCAGAAGAGGACAGUGGAACUCCAUGUGUAGCGGUGAAAUGCGUAGAUAUAUGGAAGAACACCAGUGGCGAAGGCGGCUGUCUGGUCUGUAACUGACGCUGAGGCUCGAAAGUAUGGGUAGCAAACAGGAUUAGAUACCCUGGUAGUCCAUACCGUAAACGAUGAAUGCUAAGUGUUGGAGGGUUUCCGCCCUUCAGUGCUGCAGCUAACGCAUUAAGCAUUCCGCCUGGGGAGUACGGCCGCAAGGCUGAAACUCAAAGGAAUUGACGGGGGCCCGCACAAGCGGUGGAGCAUGUGGUUUAAUUCGAAGCUACGCGAAGAACCUUACCAGGUCUUGACAUACUAUGCAAAUCUAAGAGAUUAGACGUUCCCUUCGGGGACAUGGAUACAGGUGGUGCAUGGUUGUCGUCAGCUCGUGUCGUGAGAUGUUGGGUUAAGUCCCGCAACGAGCGCAACCCUUAUUAUCAGUUGCCAGCAUUAAGUUGGGCACUCUGGUGAGACUGCCGGUGACAAACCGGAGGAAGGUGGGGAUGACGUCAAAUCAUCAUGCCCCUUAUGACCUGGGCUACACACGUGCUACAAUGGAUGGUACAACGAGUUGCGAACUCGCGAGAGUAAGCUAAUCUCUUAAAGCCAUUCUCAGUUCGGAUUGUAGGCUGCAACUCGCCUACAUGAAGUCGGAAUCGCUAGUAAUCGCGGAUCAGCAUGCCGCGGUGAAUACGUUCCCGGGCCUUGUACACACCGCCCGUCACACCAUGAGAGUUUGUAACACCCAAAGUCGGUGG